UAGGGAAUCUUCCGCAAUGGACGCAAGUCUGACGGAGCAACGCCGCGUGAGUGAAGAAGGAUUUCGGUUCGUAAAACUCUGUUGUUAGAGAAGAACAGCGCAUAGAGUAACUGCUAUGCGUGUGACGGUAUCUAACCAGAAAGCCACGGCUAACUACGUGCCAGCAGCCGCGGUAAUACGUAGGUGGCAAGCGUUGUCCGGAUUUAUUGGGCGUAAAGCGAGCGCAGGCGGUCAAUUAAGUCUGAUGUGAAAGCCCCCGGCUCAACCGGGGAGGGUCAUUGGAAACUGGUUGACUUGAGUGCAGAAGAGGAGAGUGGAAUUCCAUGUGUAGCGGUGAAAUGCGUAGAUAUAUGGAGGAACACCAGUGGCGAAGGCGACUCUCUGGUCUGUAACUGACGCGGAGGCUCGAAAGCGUGGGUAGCAAACAGG
rnacentral:rRNA from 1 species